GUGUCAGCAGCCGCGGUAAUACGGAGGGGGUUAGCGUUGUUCGGAAUUACUGGGCGUAAAGCGCGCGUAGGCGGAUUGCCAAGUCAGAGGUGAAAGCCCGGGGCUUAACCUCGGAAUUGCCUUUGAGACUGGCAGGCUUGAGUACGGGAGAGGUAAGUGGAAUUCCGAGUGUAGAGGUGAAAUUCGUAGAUAUUCGGAAGAACACCAGUGGCGAAGGCGGCUUACUGGACCGUUACUGACGCUGAGGCACGAAAGCGUGGGUAGCAAACAGGAUUAGAUACCCUGGUAGUCCACGCCCUAAACGAUGUCGACUGGCUGUCGGGUUCAUUUGGAACUUGGCAGCGAAGCUAACGCGUUAAGUCGACCGCCUGGGGAGUACGGCCGCAAGGUUGAAACUCAAAUGAAUUGACGGGG
rnacentral:rRNA from 1 species